AAAAAAUGGUUUCGAAUGCAUGAUGCAAUUAAAAGAAAAAACAAAUCUAUGUUAUUAAAUAAUAAAAACUAUGAGUAAUAAAGCAUAAACACAAAAGAAAAUGUUAAAAGAAAAAAAACUACACAUAGGGGAAUCAAACCCACUACACUAAAGACCUAGACAUCACUCCUCUCCACCAGAUCACUUACAAACUAAUUGUUAUUUUAAUACUAAUUUAAAUAUAUAAAUCAAAAUAAAUAAUAAAAAAAAGAAAUAAAAAUAAAAAAAAACUAAUAAAUAGGAAACUGUUGGACUACCCUAAUUAAACCUA
rnacentral:lncRNA from 1 species